rnacentral:tRNA from 1 species
GCCUAUCCGAACCCAUGUUCGGCCAUGGAAAUAGCUUCCCAAGCUGAAUACGCGGGUUCGAUUCCCGUCAUCGGCUCCA